rnacentral:rRNA from 1 species
AUUGAACGCUGGCGGCAUGCCUUACACAUGCAAGUCGAACGGCAGCAUGGAAGAGCUUGCUCUUCUGAUGGCGAGUGGCGAACGGGUGAGUAAAGCAUCGGAACGUACCGUGUAGUGGGGGAUAACGUAGCGAAAGUUACGCUAAUACCGCAUACGCACUGAGGUGGAAAGCAGGGGAUCGCAAGACCUUGCGCUAUACGAGCGGCCGAUGUCAGAUUAGCUAGUUGGUAGGGUAAAGGCCUACCAAGGCGACGAUCUGUAGCGGGUCUGAGAGGAUGAUCCGCCACACUGGGACUGAGACACGGCCCAGACUCCUACGGGAGGCAGCAGUGGGGAAUUUUGGACAUGGGCGAAAGCCUGAUCCAGCCAUGCCGCGUGAGUGAAGAAGG